UCACAUUUCUAAGUUGUGGUGUUGGAACUCUAAAUGGAGGAUUAGUGUCUUUGGAAGAUCAUAAUCAAAAAGAAACCUUUACACUCUACCAUUUUUCCAUAAUUCCCAAAACCAUCAAAACACUCCAUCUCCUACUCUCUCUCUCUCUCUAAAAUCGUUCAAACCAAAACACCCUACAACACUUUCAUUUCAAUCUUUAAAAACUCAAGAAUUCAUACACUUAUGGAGGUCCAUGGAUGAAACUAGCUACAAGGGUGUUUAGAAAAGCUAUUAGGAGCCUUUUUGGUGAAACUUGAAGCUUUGGAUCAACAAGAUUUUUCUUAUCUUCAUCCUUAUUUCCUAGCAAAAAUUGUCAAGAAACGAACCGCGAACAAGGAAUCGAAUAGAGAUUUGCACGGAACGCAAAUCAGUGUUAAAAUAAAGGGGCCAUUAAUGAAUAAACAAGUACCGAGGAACAAACGGAUAGAUCUAUUUGGGUUUUGGCAAGCCCCACUCUUAACGACAACGAUAACCACGAUCGUCAAGAGUGCCUUUGUGUCCAAACUAGUGUCGUUGACACACACGAUAAAUUGUCAAGGAGAUUAGUGGACGGCUUUGGAAAAAUAUGUUCAAGUGGUUAUCAAGAACGCAAGCUUUUGUGAUGUCAUCCGUUUUCGGUUGUUAUGUUUUGAACUUUGAAUAAUGUAGUUAAAGUUGUUGUUUCAAGUUUCAAACAAGACAUAUGUAAUGUAAACUAUGGUUUCGAAUCAAAUGUAUGGAUGAACAUCUUUUAUGUUUCAAAUAUGUUGUUUACU